AAGUUGCUGCGGCCGAGGUUGAAGAGGUUGCUGAAACAAAUUUAGCAGACCAAACAGAACCAGAAAGAAAAAUAAGUAUAUUAAGGCAAAAAGAAAUGGAUUAUAAAGAAAUGAGUCACCAAACAUACGUAGCCUGAAGUGGUUAUAGGGAACCAGGAUACAAAAUCGAGCAGCAGAAGAGCCAGAGAGACCAGCAAAAAGAAUGGCAAGAUGAAUGGAAAGACAAAACAGUUCAUUAUAGAAGAAAAUAAGCCCAAAGAAGUCAAUAUCUUCUAGAGAAACAAAGUAUGAUGGAGAGACUUGUCCUAGCAAAAAUUAGGAUUUAUGAUGAAGACACAGUUAUCAAGAUAACAUGGUACAGGAGCAGGGGUAAACAAUUUGCACAUUGGAGAGAACAAAGAUCCCAGGAACAGAUUUACUUAUCUGUCAUGGAAGAUCAG